AUGCCCCCCCUGCCUGUGCGGUGGUUACCGUUGGCGACCACGCUCCCCUUUAGCUGUGGCCCGAAGACCGGUUGCAGCCUCAGGGCCUCACCCUCCCUCGGUUGCCACGACCGAAGCGACGGCCGGAGCGCUCGUCCUCUUCCACUACGGCGGCCAAAUCACCCGGAUCCAGCGUCAUCUUCCACUCCAGCAGCCGAAUCAGCUCGAGUUUGCGGAACACCGGAUCUGCUCAGGAUGAGGUCCUCGUCCAAGGAUCUGUCCGGGAAAAGACAUUUCUUCCAUUGUUUCGGUGAGGCAGGAUCACACAUUCUAUACUUAUGCUUUUUCUCCUAG
rnacentral:rRNA from 1 species